CCUACGAGAGGCUGCAGUGAGGAAUAGUGGUCAAUGGACGCAAGUCUGAACCAGCCAUGCCGCGUGCAGGAAGACGGCUCUAUGAGUUGUAAACUGCUGUUGUACGAGGGUAAACGCAGAUACGCGUAUCUGUCUGAAAGUAGCGUACGAAUAAGGAUCGGCUAACUCCGUGCCAGCAGCCGCGGUAAGACGGAGGAUUCAAGCGUUAUCCGGAUUAAUUGGGUUUAACGGGUGCGUAGGCGGUCGGCUAAGUGAGAGGUGAAAUCCCGAGGCUCAACUUCGGAAUUGCCUCUGUUACUGUUCGGCUAGAGCGUAGUUGCGGUAGGCGGAAUGUAUGGUGUAGCGGU
rnacentral:rRNA from 1 species